rnacentral:tRNA from 1 species
GGGCGCAUAGUGGGACUGGGGCUUAUAAUGGCGCAUUAGCUAUUCAGGGCUAUUUUGUAAGAGGUCUGCAAAACCUCCACCCCCGGUUCAAAUCCGGGUGCCGCCUU